CUCACCGUCGGACGGACGCGGUCGUGAGGGUUGGGGAACCCGGUGACCGGCCGUAGCCGAGGCGACCAAGGGUCUAAGGGAGCCCGCGGACGCCGCUCCGGCGAAGGAG
rnacentral:sRNA from 12 species